rnacentral:rRNA from 1 species
GACGAACGCUGGCGGCGUGGAUUAGGCAUGCAAGUCGAACGGUAUCAUCCUUUCGGGGGUGAGAGAGUGGCGAACUGGUGAGUAACACGUAGGUUAUCUACCCUCAAGACGGGGACAACCCAGGGAAACUUGGGCUAAUACCGGAUGUGAGCAACUUUUAGUUGUUUGAAAGGUGGCGUAAGCUGUCGCUUGGGGAUGAGCCUGCGUCCUAUUAGUUAGUUGGUGAGGUAACGGCUCACCUAGGCAAUGAUAGGUAGGCGGCCUUAACGGGUGGUCGCCCACACUGGGAUUGAGAUACGGCCCAGACUCCUACGGGAGGCAGCAGUCGAGAAUAGUCUACAAUGGUCGGAAGACUGAUAGUGCGACGCCGCGUGAACGAUGAAUCCCUUCGGGGUGUAAAGUUCUUUUAUAUGUGAGCAGUGCUUCUUAUAUUAACAGUAUGGGGAGAGAGAUAUUAGCAUAUGAAUAAGCAAGGCUAACUCCGUGCCAGCAGCCGCGGUAAACU